UGUGGGAGCCUCUGUGUGGUGGCUCAAUUUUUUCUCUCAGUAGCCAUGGGAGGGGGAGGGGAAGGGAAGAAAAAGAGUCUAGGUGGAGGAAAGUCCACUCUCUGGUCUUCUUCAAACCUCUCUCUGGGAGGCAGUCCACCCAGAAUGACGGGUGUGUGGAAUCACUCUCAUCAUCCAGGACCCACUGCCCUCAUGUGGCUCCUGCAGUCUGGGCCAGAGUUGAGAAAUGUCUGUGUUGGGAUGAGGAAGAUGGAACCAGAAUGUUUGGGGCACCCUGGUGAAGACAAAGGCAGCAGGCAGGGGAUGGAGAACAGCUUCCUACUUUGUCUGUUGCUACCACUCCAAAGUGAAAAUCAUAAUGCCUACUUUUGCCAGAUGGGAAAUAGAAGAUGAGCUCCUUCGUUGGUGCCAGUAAUACCAGCAGGCAAGAACAUCAGAGCACGGCUGCUUCUGUUCAGUGGAUACGAAGUCGAUAAUCUGCUCCCCAAUGGACUCCACUGGAACCAUCCUGGUAUUUCAUUGCAGUUGGUGGUCCUGAUUGGAGGCUUCCGCAGCACUCUCUCCAGAGCAUAUGGGAAGAAAUUGAAGACCCAAGGAACUCAUCAUUGUGUUAUUCCCCACACCACAGGAUUUUUGCGCUUUCAAUGUGGUGAAGUUGAACACUAUAAGUGAGAGAUUGAAGAAAGCACAAGAAAGGUAUUUUAGAAAAAUUCAAACAAGUCAAUCUAUUUUUACAGGCGCAAGCAGCAUCUGAAGAAUACAGAGAACUUCACUUAGAAGUCAGAUGGAACUCAGAAUGAAAGAUCUUGAAUCUGAAGUCUCCAACAGGAAAACUUCUUGAGAAGUCUUUCAUUAUAUUGAAUUGGGAAAAUACAAGCACUUCUAUCAAUUAGAAUUGGAAGCUAGAAAAUACUUGUCAAACAAAAUUAAAAAUCUUCACAGAACUACUGAGAGACUAGCAGCAUUCAGUAGCAAUCUUUUUGUGGAGACAGGAGACCAGAACUUUCUUUACCACUCAUGGACAGUCCUAUAGUCACCUCCUGGUGGCAAUCUUAAUAAUGGUUUAGGUCUUCACAGAGAAUUUACUUCAAAAGAAUACUCAACGUUCUCUUUUUCCUGCCCAUGGACUUCACAUACCGGCAUGAAGAACAACUUGAGUGAGAUGCUGCUGGAUAUUCUCCUGUGGAAGAGCUUCUUCUCUAGAUUCACUGAUGAGUCAAAUCUAAAUGAAGACAUUCUUUAGAAAGCAUCAUGGAAAUAUGUGCCAAUUUUUAAAAAAAAAAAAUAUACAAUGUGAAAGACUUUUAAGUAGGUCUUGCAAAUGAAAGCCAGUUUUACAUCCUCAGACUGCCAAAAUGUUAGCUGUUUAUAAUUUUAAUUUUAAGCACUGAUUUAUAUGACUCUUUCUUCUUGGAGAAAUAAAAUUUGCCUAAGGCU